GAAAAUUUCCUACAGAGAAAAAAAAUAAUAUAAAACUUAUUAAAAAGAAAUUAAGUAGGGUAAGGGUAGAAUAGGAAAGAGAAAGAACAAAAUUGAUUAAAAAGUAUUAAAAAAUAAAAGAGAGUGUAAGUGGAAAAAAUGGGAGUGGGAAAAUAAGCUCCCCUAAACAUAUACAUUUGGCAGGUAUAUCGAUACUAACUUC
rnacentral:lncRNA from 1 species